GUAUGUUUUUUGGUAAUAACGGAUACUAUUAACUAUAUGCCACAUGAUGCGUCCCCGUAAUUAGCAUUGGCUAUUAAAUUUGGUUGAUAAAUGAGAAGCAUCCGGAACAAAGUACAUUUAUUUAGGUUUAAAAGACGCCCCCGUUGACGCCAAAGCUACAGGUCGAGAUCCGGCGAAGUUCGUCGGAUUUCUUCCUAGGAAACUGCAUCUACGGCGUACCUCUUUAAUUAUUGUCUUGUAUUACCAAAGGAAGAAAUGAAGGGCUCCUGCACUCUCGUUGCUUCCAUGCUUGCUGCUUCUACCGUGGCUAUUAGCUCCACAUCCUAUGCCUCCUCCGAGGGACUUGGUUAUUCCUCAUCGCUCAGAUCUGACAAGUCAAGGAAAUUGCCAUUGGCGUCAGAGAAGGAUAAAUUCGCUCCUAGGUUUGACGGCCUGAGGUUCAUCGAGACACUGGUUACGGCUCAUAGAUGAAAUCUAUGUAAUUGCUUUAUGGCAUUUGAGGAAUCCAAGUAGCAUUAGCCCCAUUUGCUUAUCCAUUGAAAUGGAAAUGAACAUGUCUUCUUUGUCCAAUGUGAUUGAUUGAGUUUUAUUUUUCCCUGUUACUAUUUAAAGGAUCUAUUUUUCUCUUAUCAAUUUAAAUAUUUUCAGUUUUUUAUCAA